GACUCGUUAGCUUAGUGGUUAGAGCGUUCAUUUCUGAUGUAAAGGUCGGGGGUUCGAAUCCUCCACGAGUCG
rnacentral:tRNA from 1 species